GUGGGUAGUUUGACUGGGGCGGUCUCCUCCUAAAGAGUAACGGAGGAGCACGAAGGUUGGCUAAUCCUGGUCGGACAUCAGGAGGUUAGUGCAAUGGCAUAAGCCAGCUUGACUGCGAGCGUGACGGCGCGAGCAGGUGCGAAAGCAGGUCAUAGUGAUCCGGUGGUUCUGAAUGGAAGGGCCAUCGCUCAACGGAUAAAAGGUACUCCGGGGAUAACAGGCUGAUACCGCCCAAGAGUUCAUAUCGACGGCGGUGUUUGGCACCUCGAUGUCGGCUCAUCACAUCCUGGGGCUGAAGUAGGUCCCAAGGGUAUGGCUGUUCGCCAUUUAAAGUGGUACGCGAGCUGGGUUUAGAACGUCGUGAGACAGUUCGGUCCCUAUCUGCCGUGGGCGCUGGAGAACUGAGGGGGGCUGCUCCUAGUACGAGAGGACCGGAGUGGACGCAUCACUGGUGUUCGGGUUGUCAUGCCAAUGGCACUGCCCGGUAGCUAAAUGCGGAAGAGAUAAGUGCUGAAAGCAUCUAAGCACGAAACUUGCCCCGAGAUGAGUUCUCCCUGAGACUUUAGGUCUCCUGAAGGAACGUUGAAGACGACGACGUUGAUAGGCCGGGUGUGUAAGCGCAGCGAUGCGUUGAGCUAACCGGUACUAAUGAACCGUGAGGCU
rnacentral:rRNA from 3 species